AUGAGAUCGAAAAAUAUACAUGGGUUUCAAUGGAAAGAAAUUAAUAAUCGAAUUGUUCAGUUAAAGGCUGUAGAGAAAACACAAUGAGAAAGACUACAUGUCUCGUAUGUGCCGUCACGCUCCAUGUGACUGGCGUGGACAAGACAGACAAUCUCCACAUCAGCAUAACUGAAACUCCACAUGCCCCAAUUUAUAAUGGUUUUCACCUCUUGAUGCUUUUAUCCUCCCCUUGGAAAAAACCUAACAUUAUCAAACUUCUGAACGAAAAUGUUUAGUUUUCUUUGCAUGAAAAUGUAUAAUUUAAGUACAUAAACAACGUAUGUGUUAUCCGGAGCAUAUAAAGACUGGGACAAGAAAAUAAUUUCGCCAUUGAAACCCAUUCAUAUUUUUCGAUCUCAUAGGUCCCAUGGGCUCUACCGGAAAGCGCGUGACUUUGCCACUCAAUAGGGGAGGAUUAAAUAUGUGGUUUAAAAAACUCGGGCGCCCUCUACUGGUAAAUAGCGAGGUGUCUGCGACAGGCUUAUUCGUAAGGCUGUCUGCAGCAGCCAUCCCCUCCCUCCCGACCUGAAGUUCCCAGAUGUUAGGAUCAGACAGGACACCACGAGGUCAGAGGUCGGCGGUCUCCACCAUUGAAGCGGGGGGCUUGCCAGCCCCGGGUGACGGCGGCCAAGCCGUUGCUGCGCGCCCCCGGGUUCCCCACCCGCGCACCCGGACGCGGCGUGGGGGAGGCUGGCGGUUGGUUCGAUGGGAGACGCCGCUGGACGUAGCCAGUAGCUGAUUAGACAGAGGAGGGAUGACCCGGCGCGUCCUUGCUCUGUAUUGUCGGUCUCAACAGGCGCCCAUUGUCCUCGAGAGCAGUGGUUCUCAAACCUCUUCUACUGGUGUACCCCCUCUGAGAUAUUUUUUUAAGCUGAGGACCCCAUUCACCGGCACAAUUUAUUCUUGGGGAUAAAAUAUAAUAAAUAAAGAUAAAUAAUGUAUGUGCGUUGUAUUUGGUAGAAUAAACAUUUAAAGGGCGCAAAUGCUCACAAUUUAGUGAGAAAUAUGGGAUUGUGCUUCAUGCAACUGUUUCAGAUUUACAUUUAUUUACAUUUAAUUUUUUACCCCCGCAGUACUCCAAAGUACCCCCAGGGGUACGAGUACCCCCAUUUGAGAACCACUGCUCUAGAGGGUCAGAGUGAAUUGUGCAUUGUGUGAACUGAGUUUGUGGCGAGACAAUUUGGAAAAGAAAAAAGAGGGGGGAAAUAAAACAAGUCCCGACUAUCUACAGUCUG